rnacentral:rRNA from 1 species
AUUGAACGCUGGCGGCAUGCCUUACACAUGCAAGUCGAACGGCAGCACGGGGGCAACCCUGGUGGCGAGUGGCGAACGGGUGAGUAAUACAUCGGAACGUGCCCAGUCGUGGGGGAUAACGUAGCGAAAGUUACGCUAAUACCGCAUACGAUCUCUGGAUGAAAGCGGGGGACCGCAAGGCCUCGCGCGAUUGGAGCGGCCGAUGGCAGAUAGGUAGUUGGUGGGGUAAAAGCUUACCAAGCCUCCGAUCUGUAGCUGGUCUGAGAGGACGAUCAGCCACACUGGGACUGAGACACGGCCAAUACUCCUACGGGAGGCUGCAGUGGGGAAUUUUGGCCAAUGGGCGAAAGCCUGAUCCAGCAAUGCCGCGUGCAGGACGAAGGCCUUCGGGUUGUGAACUGCUUUUGUACGGAGCGAGACGGCUUCCACUAAUACUGGGGGCUAAUGACGGUACCGUAAGAAUAAGCACCGGCUAACUACGUGCCAGCCGCCGCCGUAA